rnacentral:tRNA from 1 species
ACUAUCUUGACAGAAAAGUGUAAUAGAUUUAGAAUCUAUAAAUGUGAUUAUUGAUUACAGGUAGUA